rnacentral:rRNA from 1 species
AGGGAAUAUUGCACAAUGGGGGAAACCCUGAUGCAGCGACGCCGCGUGAAGGAAGAAGGUCUUCGGAUCGUAAACUUCUAUCAGCAGGGAAAAAGGUAGUGACGGUACCUGACUAAGAAGCCCCGGCUAACUACGUGCCAGCAGCCGCGGUAAUACGUAGGGGGCAAGCGUUAUCCGGAAUCACUGGGUGUAAAGGGUGCGUAGGCGGUAGGGCAAGUCAGAUGUGAAAGCCCGGGGCUCAACUCCGGGAUUGCAUUUGAAACUGUCUUACUAGAGUGCAGGAGAGGAAAGCGGAAUUCCUAGUGUAGCGGUGAAAUGCGUAGAUAUUAGGAAGAACACCAGUGGCGAAGGCGGCUUUCUGGACUGUAACUGACGCUGAGGCACGAAAGCGUGGGGAGCGAAC